CUAAAUAAUUGAAUUUGAUUAGUGGUUGUCCAUAUUACGACCUAACCACUUUCUUUCCCACUCAAAUACGAGAAAAUAAAAUUCUUGACCGAUUAAUCAUGAUUCCGAAUUGUUGACCGAUCAAUUGUGAUUCGGAAGAAAACCCGAUAUUUUAGUAGAAUCGGAAGACUAACCAUUAACCAGGAACAAGAUUCCUCAUUCAACAAUGGCGUAAAACUGCAACCACAUUUCGCAGAAUAGAAAUCCUUUUAUGGAGGCAAACUUUUUCUCGAUUCAUUAAUUAUAUAAAUGCUUUCAUGAAGCUCACCUCUUUGGCUCUUUCCCUUUUUCAAGCAACAGACAGAGGAGAUAGCAGAGUCCCAGUGGAUAAUUCAGAGACCCAAAAGAGGACUGUUUGGGGUUACUGAUUGAUAGUCCCUCUCUGUUACCAACUUGAAUGAUUAGGCUUUGUAACUGAUAUUUUUUCAAAUGGGCCAUUUGUCUCUCUUUAGCAGUCUGGAGAAUAUUUUGCUUGGCCCAUUUUCCAGUGUUUCUUUUUUAAAUA